UACGAGGGGGGCGAGCGUUGUUCGGAAUUACUGGGCGUAAAGGGCGCGUAGGCGGUUUGCUAAGUUGGAUGUGAAAACUCUGGGCUUAACCCAGAGCCUGCAUCCAAAACUGGCAAACUUGAGUACUGGAGGGGAAAGCGGAAUUCCUGGUGUAGCGGUGAAAUGCGUAGAUAUCAGGAGGAACACCGGUGGCGAAGGCGGCUUUCUGGACAGUAACUGACGCUGAGGCGCGAAAGCUAGGGGAGCAAACAGG
rnacentral:rRNA from 1 species